GCGGGCGUAGCAUAGUGGCAAUGCACCGGCCUUCCAAGCCGGCUAGGUGGGUUCGAUCCCCAUCGCCCGCU
rnacentral:tRNA from 2 species